CACAGCAACAAUGCCUUUUAUCACUGUCUUCAUCUGGGCACUCUUCAUCACUGUUCAUGAAUGGAAUGGACAGAUAUCUGUGACUCAGCCUCCAGUAAUAUCUACUGCUCCAGGACAGACAGUUACUGUGAGCUGUAGGACCAGUCCUGCGGUGUACAACAAUAAUAACCUAAACUGGUACCAACAGAAAGCUGGAGAAGCUCCUAAACUUCUAAUCUAUGGAGCAACUAACCGUCAGACUGGGAUCCCAGAGCGUUUCAGUGGCGGUGGAUCUGGGACUGACUUCACUCUGACCAUCACAGGAGUCCAGGCUGAAGAUGCAGCAGAUUAUUACUGUCAGAGUCGUCACAACAUCAACAGUAAUUGGCCGUGGACUUUCGGCGGCGGGACCAGACUGAGUGUGGGCAGUAACGCGCUGCCGUCUCUGUCCCUCCUGCCGCCCUCCACUGUGGAGGCCUUUGAUCACAGCAGGGAACACACAGGAUAA